rnacentral:rRNA from 1 species
UACGAAGGUUGCAAGCGUUACUCGGAAUUACUAGGCGUAAAGGGCAGGGUAGGUGGUUUGGUAAGUCUAUUGUGAAAGCUCCCGGCUUAACUGGGAGAGGCCAAUGGAUACUGCCAAGCUUGAGUAUAGGAGAGGUUACUGGAAUUCCCGGUGUAGCGGUGAAAUGCGCAGAUAUCGAGAGGAACACCUGCGGCGAAGGCGGGUUGCUGGGCUGACACUGACGCUGAGGCGCGAAAGCCAGGGGAGCGAACGGG